AUAAGUGCUGAACAAAAGAUUUUUGUCUAUCUCUGGUUGCUGCUGUAAAAAAGCCUGGUCUGUCAGGUACUGAAAUAUGAAGUAGCAUGUAAAUCUUGCAGCAGAGAGCAAGGAAGCGUGGCACAGGAACCCACUUUGAGCACCAAAUAUGCCUUAAAUAUUAUUUAUGUUCCUUCACAAAUUGUACAGCUAAUUCCAUGCAGUCAGUGGGAAAAAUGCUGUUAGCAGCGGCGUAUCCUGGCACUUUCUGAAAUGAAGUCAGAUUUUGGCACCAUCCCUUCAGCUGUGAUGAAAGUUACAACAGGGAGGACUGAACCUAUAUGUACAUAUGAAACUGAACUUCAAAGCCAGCAGUAAUACAAUGCUCAAUAAAACUUACGCAGACAUGGAGCUUAAUAUGACAUGGAUCAAGCAGUAAAACAGCAACAUGGGGUCUGUAAGUAGCUUUUUAAAAAUAGAACUAUAUAAAAUUAAAGCUGAAGCAUACUUUAUCCCCUUACUGGAAAAGCAAGGAACUACUGACUGUACUAUGAUAAAACUAAAUUGCAUUGGCCCAUGACCUUAUCGAGUGAAUUGUAGAAUCAUAGAAUCAUUAAGGUUGGAAAGACCACUCAGAUUAUCUAGUCCAACUGUCAACCCACCCCCACCGCAUGUUUUUGUUAAUGAUGGGCUACAACUGGAAACAUACGACAGUUGCUACUGUUUUAACAAUUGGUAGAAGCAAAUGCAUAGAAAGUCAU